rnacentral:rRNA from 2 species
UACGUAGGGAGCAAGCGUUGUCCGGAAUUACUGGGUGUAAAGGGAGCGUAGGCGGGAAUGCAAGUUGAAUGUCAAAUCUACCGGCUUAACUGGUAGCCGCGUUCAAAACUGCGUUUCUUGAGUGAAGUAGAGGCAGGCGGAAUUCCUAGUGUAGCGGUGAAAUGCGUAGAUAUUAGGAGGAACACCAGUGGCGAAGGCGGCCUGCUGGGCUUUUACUGACGCUGAGGCUCGAAAGUGUGGGUAGCAAACAGG